UGGUGGAGUGAUUUGUCUGGUUAAUUCCGAUAACGAACGAGACCUUAACCUGCUAAAUAGCCAGGCCGGCUCUCGCUGGUCGCCGGCUUCUUAGAGGGACUGUCAGUGUCUAACUGACGGAAGUUUGAGGCAAUAACA
rnacentral:rRNA from 1 species